UCAAACUUGGUCAUUUAGAGGAAGUAAAAGUCGUAACAAGGUUUCCGUAGGUGAACCUGCGGAAGGAUCAUUAACAAAUCAUCAAAAACAACCAUGUGUCAAUGUCUUUCUUUCCCUUGGAUGAUGGUGGUAGAGAUGAUGAUGAUAUGUUGUGCCGUCGAGGCGUAAUCAUAUAUAUCAUGCUUCUUCUCCCCCAAGGGAAACGAUUGAUUAUUAUCUUUAAGGACUAUAUCAAUAUGAGACAAGCCUUAGAUCAUUAUUAUUAAAAAUUUAAACAACUUUUAACAAUGGAUCUCUUGGCUCUUGCAUCGAUGAAGAACGCAGC
rnacentral:misc_RNA from 1 species